GUGGGGAAUAUUCCGCAAUGGACGAAAGUCUGACGGAGCAACGCCGCGUGAGUGAUGAAGGUUUUCGGACUGUAAAGCUCUGUUGUUUAGGACGAAAGUGCCUGUUGCAAAUAGUUACAGGUAUUGACGGUACUGAACGAGGAGGCCACGGCUAACUACGUGCCAGCAGCCGCGGUAAUACGUAGGUGGCAAGCGUUGUCCGGAAUUAUUGGGCGUAAAGAGCAUGUAGGCGGGAAUCUAAGUCUGUUGUGAAAAUGCGGGGCUCAACCCCGUAUUGCGAUGGAAACUGGGUUUCUUGAGUGCAGGAGAGGAAAGGGGAAUUCCCAGUGUAGCGGUGAAAUGCGUAGAUAUUGGGAGGAACACCAGUGGCGAAGGCGCCUUUCUGGACUGUGUCUGACGCUGAGAUGCGAAAGCCAGGGUAGCGAACGGGAUUAGAAACCCCAGUAGUCC
rnacentral:rRNA from 1 species